GACCUCGUAGCUCAGUUGGUAGAGCAUUGGACUAGUAUCCCAAAGGUCGCGGGUUCGAUUCCCACCGUGGUCA
rnacentral:tRNA from 1 species